UAGCCUGACUGUGCUUAUUUGCUACUAGUGUUCACUGCACCUUUAAAAAUUUGAUUACACUUAAUGUGUCCAACAGACCAUCAUCGAAAUAUGUUGGAUUUAGGUCUACAUCAGCCCCUCCAUCUGCAGCCUCAGGAAGACCUCCAGUUCAGGCCUCAACAAGUAGGCUCCACACAGAGACAAUGGAAAGACCAAAAAAAAGAAAUUCUGCAAUAAUGGAGCCAAAAGCCAGACCUUGCCAGCCAUACCACCAUUUCCAUUUCCACCAUCAACACCAGAGACAGUCCCAGAUCUAAGACAAGAUGAAAGAGAACUCCGACUCUUUCAGAUGCUAGAGGAGAUAAAAGGCCAAGUCAGACAAAAUUCUCUUCUGCUUCAGGCAAUUUUGAGAAGAGAGAGUGUCACUGAAGUCAGCAGUUUUCCAGAUUUUGAGUUUCCGUUACAAAAUAUUAAUGAUAUAAAAAAAUGGAGGACCGGCUUUCUGACA